rnacentral:rRNA from 1 species
GAUGAACGCUGGCGGCGUGCCUAAUACAUGCAAGUCGAGCGAACAGACGAGGAGCUUGCUCCUCUGACGUUAGCGGCGGACGGGUGAGUAACACGUGGAUAACCUACCUAUAAGACUGGGAUAACUUCGGGAAACCGGAGCUAAUACCGGAUAAUAUAUUGAACCGCAUGGUUCAAUAGUGAAAGACGGUUUUGCUGUCACUUAUAGAUGGAUCCGCGCCGCAUUAGCUAGUUGGUAAGGUAACGGCUUACCAAGGCAACGAUGCGUAGCCGACCUGAGAGGGGGACGGGCCAAACGGGAAAUGGAAAAGGGGCCAAAAUACAAAGGGGGGCAGCAGUAGGGAAUUUUCCGAAAGGGGGGAAAGCAUGAAGGAGCAACGCCGGGUGGGGGAAGAAGGUUUUGGGAUCGUAAAACUCUGUUAUUAGGGAAAAAAAAAUGUGUAAGUAAAUAUGAACGUUUUGACGGUACCUAAGCAGAAAGCCACGGCUAACUACGU